rnacentral:rRNA from 1 species
GACGUACGCUGGCGGCGUGCUUAACACAUGCAAGUCGAACGGAAAGGCCCUGCUUUUGUGGGGUGCUCGAGUGGCGAACGGGUGAGUAACACGUGAGUAACCUGCCCUUGACUUUGGGAUAACUUCGGGAAACUGGGGCUAAUACCGGAUAGGAGCUCCUGCUGCAUGGUGGGGGUUGGAAAGUUUCGGCGGUUGGGGAUGGACUCGCGGCUUAUCAGCUUGUUGGUGGGGUAGUGGCUUACCAAGGCUUUGACGGGUAGCCGGCCUGAGAGGGUGACCGGCCACAUUGGGACUGAGAUACGGCCCAGACUCCUACGGGAGGCAGCAGUGGGGAAUAUUGCACAAUGGGCGGAAGCCUGAUGCAGCAACGCCGCGUGCGGGAUGACGGCCUUCGGGUUGUAAACCGCUUUCGCCUGUGACGAAGCGUGAGUGACGGUAAUGGGUAAAGAAGCACCGGCUAACUACGUG